GAUGAACGCUGGCGGCGUGCCUAAUACAUGCAAGUCGAGCGAACGGACGAGAAGCUUGCUUCUCUGAUGUUAGCGGCGGACGGGUGAGUAACACGUGGAUAACCUACCUAUAAGACUGGGAUAACUUCGGGAAACCGGAGCUAAUACCGGAUAAUAUUUUGAACCGCAUGGUUCAAAAGUGAAAGACGGUCUUGCUGUCACUUAUAGAUGGAUCCGCGCUGCAUUAGCUAGUUGGUAAGGUAACGGCUUACCAAGGCAACGAUGCGUAGCCGACCUGAGAGGGUGAUCGGCCACACUGGAACUGAGACACGGUCCAGACUCCUACGGGAGGCAGCAGUAGGGAAUCUUCCGCAAUGGGCGAAAGCCUGACGGAGCAACGCCGCGUGAGUGAUGAAGGUCUUCGGAUCGUAAAACUCUGUUAUUAGGGAAGAACAUAUGUGUAAGUAACUGUGCACAUCUUGACGGUACCUAAUCAGAAAGCCCCGGCUAACUACGUG
rnacentral:rRNA from 1 species